rnacentral:lncRNA from 1 species
GGCCGAUGAGGAAAACCACUGUCAACGGCGAAAUGAAAUAACCCUAAAAACUAUCACUGAAACAACACCGCCUCAGUUGUAUACCCAAUAAUGAAACCAUUCCCAAAUCACAGUAAAAACAGUCAAAUACAGUACCUAUAGGACGAUGAAUAGCAACGGACGAAAACCCUAUACAGAUCAGAGAAGAGAAAUUUUUUAAAGGAACAUCAAAAUUAAUUGGGCGAAUAAAAAACAGAAUAAAUUUAAUAAACAAGUCAAAACCCAAAGAUUACAUACGCAGAAUCGGAACAAAAUCAAACCUUUGAAGGCCUAUUGUGCGACGUUCGUCUUAUCUGGAAGGAGGAAGGAGGCGAUUUAGGGAUUUCGG